UAGGGAAUCUUCGGCAAUGGACGGAAGUCUGACCGAGCAACGCCGCGUGAGUGAAGAAGGUUUUCGGAUUGUAAAGCUCUGUUGUUAGAGAAGAACGUUGGUAGGAGUGGAAAAUCUACCAAGUGACGGUAACUAACCAGAAAGGGACGGCUAACUACGUGCCAGCAGCCGCGGUAAUACGUAGGUCCCGAGCGUUGUCCGGAUUUAUUGGGCGUAAAGCGAGCGCAGGCGAUUCUUUAAGUCUGAAGUUAAAGGCAGUGGCUUAACCAUUGUACGCUUUGGAAACUGGAGGACUUGAGUGCAGAAGGGGGGAGUGGAAUUCGAUGUGUAGCGGUGAAAUGCGUAGAUAUAUGGAGGAACACCGGUGGCGAGAGCGGCUCUCUGGUCUGUAACUGACGCUGAGGCUCGAAAGCGUGGGGAGCAAACAGG
rnacentral:rRNA from 1 species